rnacentral:misc_RNA from 1 species
ACAGAUGAAAGAAAGAACCUAGGCACAACACAUUCUAAUUCCCAAAUCUCAAUAAUUUCCCAAUAGAAACAGAAAUAUCUCAAAUCAAAUCUCAACAAUUCUCAAAAUUUGAAUCCCAACAUAAGAAAAAAUUAAGACAAACCCAUAACUUAGCGAUAGCCAAAAGACAAAAACUCAGAAGUUAGAACCCAGGCAUAUCCGAGGAGAAGGAAGGUAGUACUCGAACUGUACAAUGCCAGGAAGAGGUGAGAAGCAUCGAAUCUAAAAGGAAAGUCACAUGCAGAUAAAACUACUUCUGUAAUGGGGAUGAAGACUUUAGAUACAGAGCAAAGGGUCUGCCAACUAUGUCUAUGAGUGAGGAGGAGCCGAGGAGGGAGAGCCGUGAAUGGGUCUGCCGUCUGAACAAGCGUCGCUGAAGAACCAAUGACUGAGGAGUGAGGAGGCAAAGACGACAGGCCAGGGAUACGUGAGCUAGAGAGAAGAAAGAGAGAGAGUAAAGUGAGAGUAGGCGAGGUGAGUGAGAAGCAAGAAAAAG